rnacentral:rRNA from 1 species
GACGAACGCUGGCGGCGUGCUUAACACAUGCAAGUCGAACGGAAAGGCCCUGCUUGCAGGGUACUCGCGUGGCGAACGGGUGAGUAACACGUGGGUGAUCUGCCCUGCACUUCGGGAUAAGCCUGGGAAACUGGGUCUAUUACCCGAUAGGAGCCAUUUUUAGUCUGAUGGUUGGAAAGUUUUUUUCGGGGUAGGAUGAGCUCGCGGCCUAUCAGCUUGUUGGUGGGGUAAUGGCCUACCAAGGCGGCGACGGGUAGUCGGCCUGGGAGGGUGGACGGCCAAAUUGGGACUGAGAUACGGCCCAGACUCCUACGGGAGGCAGCAGGGGGGGAUAUUGCACAAUGGGGGCAAGCCUGAUGCAGCGACGCCGCGUGGGGGAUGACGGCCUUCGGGUUGUAAACUCCUUUCGCUAGGGACGAAGCUUUUUGUGACGGUACCUAGAUAAGAAGCACCGGCUAACUACGUG